rnacentral:rRNA from 1 species
ACGGGGCCCGCACAAGCGGUGGAGCAUGUGGUUUAAUUCGAAGCAACGCGAAGAACCUUACCAGGUCUUGACAUCCCCUGACAACCCAAGAGAUUGGGCCGGUUCCCCCUUCGGGGGGACAGGGUGACAGGUGGUGCAUGGUUGUCGUCAGCUCGUGUCGUGAGAUGUUGGGUUAAGUCCCGCAACGAGCGCAACCCUCGCCUCUAGUUGCCAGCAUUCGGUUGGGCACUCUAGAGGGACUGCCGGCGACAAGUCGGAGGAAGGUGGGAUGACGUCAAAUCAUCAUGCCCCUUAUGACCUGGGCUACACACGUGCUACAAUGGGCGGUACAAAGGGCUGCGAACCCGCGAGGGGGAGCGAAUCCCAAAAAGCCGCUCUCAGUUCGGAUUGCAGGCUGCAACUCGCCUGCAUGAAGCCGGAAUCGCUAGUAAUCGCGGAUCAGCAUGCCGCGGUGAAUGCGUUCCCGGGUCUU